rnacentral:rRNA from 1 species
CAGUCGCCGCGGUAAGACAGAGGAUGCAAGCGUUAUCCGGAAUGAUUGGGCGUAAAGCGUCUGUAGGUGGCUUUUCAAGUCCGCCGUCAAAUCCCCGGGCUCAACCCUGGACAGGCAGUGGAAACUACCAAGCUGGAGUACGGUAGGGGCAGAGGGAAUUUCCGGUGGAGCGGUGAAAUGCGUAGAGAUGUGGAGGAACACCAGUGGCGAAGGCGACUCUCUGGUCUGUAACUGACGCUGAGGAGCGAAAGCGUGGGGAGCGAACAGGAUUAGAUACCCCAGUAGUCCCUGUCUCUUAUAC